rnacentral:rRNA from 1 species
UACAGAGGGUGCAAGCGUUAAUCGGAAUUACUGGGCGUAAAGCGUGCGUAGACGGUUGCGUAAGUCAGAUGUGAAAGCCCCGGGCUCAACCUGGGAAUUGCAUUUGAGACUGCGUAGCUAGGGUGCGGAAGAGGCGAGUGGAAUUCCUGGUGUAGCGGUGGAAUGCGCAGAUAUCAGGAGGAACACCAAUAGCGAAGGCAGCUCUCUGGGACGGUACUGACGCUGAGACGCGAAAGCGUGGGGAGCGAACAGG